AUCCAGUUGAUGAAUUCCAAAUAGGACGAAACGCGUGUCCCGAAU
rnacentral:hammerhead_ribozyme from 1 species